UACGUAGGUGGCAAGCGUUGUUCGGAAUUACUGGGCGUAAAGGGCUCGUAGGCGGCCAACUAAGUCAGACGUGAAAUCCCUCGGCUUAACCGGGGAACUGCGUCUGAUACUGGAUGGCUGGAGUUUGGGAGAGGGAUGCGGAAUUCCAGGUGUAGCGGUGAAAUGCGUAGAUAUCUGGAGGAACACCGGUGGCGAAGGCGGCAUCCUGGACCAACACUGACGCUGAGGAGCGAAAGCCAGGGGAGCAAACGGG
rnacentral:rRNA from 1 species